GCGGCUGUUGAGUGAGUUGUGACGACUGCAGAAAUGGCAAAGAGGUGUGUUUUCGGUUGUUCGCCGAACAAAACUCUUUUCAGCAUCCCACGGCUGCCUCUGCUACGGUCCCGCUGGCGGGAGUUUCUGCACUUUGAAGAGGAAGGGUUAACGGUGAACUCGAGGCUGUGCUCCAGGCAUUUCACGCCAGACUGUUUCCAGAACUUAACCCAGCACCAGAUGGGCUUCGCCAAAGUCUUGUACCUCAAGAACACCGCUGUUCCGUCGGUGUACACGGUUGGUGUGUCCCAGAAUAUGAACGUAAGUCUAUCUAGACAGCUUGCUUAUGUUGAUGAUGCGUUCCCCACGAGUUUUGGCCUUCACUUAUCUGUCUUUUGUGGCAGGCUCUCUCGAGGGAGGUGGGCUGUCAGAGCAUCUCUCAAACUCCAAAAAAAGAGCGUCUCGGUUCAAGCGUCAUUCCCGGUCCCUAAAACGAAACGACGCAGUAAAGGUGACUUUUAGGUGCUUGGUAGUUUGGGUUGAGCGCAUUGCUUUGAUAACUUACUUCCCUCCUGUGUUGAUGUGUCAGCCGUUCAAGUGAAGUCUCCAGAGCUCGCUGCUCUCGAAAUGAAACGGAGAAGUGCGCAGAUGAUUUCACCUGCAGGACCACAGAAGACCUGGCUCUCAUCCUGAGGGCUUCAAGGCCGUAGGCUUCUCAGGUCUCAAUUUUGUUAUAUAAGGGAUUUUUUAGGAACGACCGUUUAUUUGUGACCCUGGACAACAAAUAAGGGUCAGUGUUUUUUAAAUAAAUAUUUUUUUACUUAGAUUUAUAAGUAAGCUUUCCAUUGAUUGUAUGGUUUGUGAAAACGGGACAGUAUUUGUCUGAGAUAAAAUCUGGAAUCUGAGGGUGCAAAAAAAAUGUAGCAAUGCAUAUUAUUACUAAUCAUAAAUUGAGUUUUGUUACAUUUAGGGUAGGUAAAUAUCUCUGGAACAUAUUUACUUAAUAUUCCAAUGUUUUAUUUUUUUUCUUCCCACAUUAGACAUGUUGCCAACACGGUGAUGAAUAUGAGGUGUUGGACGAUAAAUUAGAAAAUUGAAGCUCUUGGGAAAAGAGUGGAUUAUGGAGAGGUUCCAAGCAACCUGAACCUCCUCUGCUGGUGUGCGUCCCUCAAGACGAGAAGAAACCACUGAAUUGUUGUGCUGUCAAACGCCUUCCACUCGACUGGCAGUUACAUAAUAUACACAAAUAAUGGCAAGGAGUGAUAAACCUGACUGUUCUGCUCACAGCCAACUGCUGUGCCAAUAGAGCUGGAUAUUCUGUUUACCUCCAUGAAUCAUUGUACAACAGAAAACUUCACGUACAGCUAAUCACACACCACUGGAAAACGGUCACCUCUAGAGGGAAAAACGUGGCCAAAACCAGACUGAUGAGACGCUUUCCAUGUUGUUUUUGGAGACGGCCUUUCAAUCCUGGACUAUUCCAGGCUCAUCUAAAUGACGUCCCCUGCGAGAUGCUAUGUAGAGACCUGAUGUAAAAGGAAGCUGUGCCCAGAUUGUACACUUUUGGUGUUUGUUGGUCUCUAAAUUAAGUGUGUAUUCAAGUCUCUGCCCCUAUUACUACAAGUGUCUUUGAGUGAGAGAGGGAAGAACAGGUUGAACUUAUGUGUUCUUAUAAAAGUGGUAAUGAAAUGCCAAAAGCACAAUACAAAAAGGGUUGAGGGAAUUGAAGAAUGUUUUAACAAGCGCUUAACAUCUCAUUUCUUUAGAAGAUAUUUCUUUGGGGCAGACAAAAUGACAACCGGAAAAAGAAAUGUGGAUGUUCUUGAGAUGAAACCUCCAUAUCAACCAUACUGGAACCUACCACUUCUCAUAAACGUGUAUUGUAUUAUAUAUAUAUUACAGAUUCAGGUGAAUUAAAUUAUUAAUUUACUGCCAUUUUCUGAACAAUAUGCAAGCAGUUACUACCCAGCUCUGCUCAUAACCAACUGCUGUUCCAAUAAAGAUGGAUAUUCAAGCAUAAAUGAUUCCGUUUCCCUCCAUUAAACCUAUAUUUUCAUGGACUGGAAAACGACACGCACAACAGAAGGAUGAAACAGAUUCACAAACGCAGAGUGACCUUUUAUUUGUAUUUACUGACUUGAGCCAGCAUGACUACUUCUACACAGACAAACCUCUAGAAAACAAUACUUCAACUCUGAUAGUUCAAGAGUAACGAACCAAUUUAAACCCAAACAUGUCUCUCUCUCUCUUUUUUUUUUUGUUUUGGAGUUUUAAGCUUUGUUUUCGUUUCUGUGUACAAGUCUCAUAGCUGAAAGAAACAUGCACAUGACAUAAUAAUGCACAUUAUAAAGUUCAGUACUGACAAUAUUUCAAAUUAAUACAAACGAAUGAACGUUAUUUCAUAUAAAGGUAUCAAACUUAUAGAUCCUUAUAGAUCAAUACUGGAACACAAUAAUAAAGAGUUUCCAAAUCGAAGCUUCCACAGCUAGUUGAAGAUCACAACGCCAUCACUUCCAGCAAACAGAAAACCUUAGUUACCACAUCACUUGGUGUUGGUUUAAUUGCACUUAAUUUAGUUUCUCC